GGCGGAUCCGGGGCCGGCUUAGGUCGGAAACGAGCGGAGGAGCUGCGGCGGUGCUGCACGGCCAACGGCGGGGCCUCACGGUGGCGGAGACGAGCUCCGGCAGCUCUUGCGCGAGCUGAACAGCAGCUCGGGAUGCCGGCCAAGCGCGGGCGAGCGCGGGCGGCGGCGGAGCGCGAUACGACGGGCGACGACGGCAGUCCUGGCUUCGACGGCUUCGGCUGCUCCGGUGACCAAACGACGGCGGCGGCAGCAGCUUGACGGAGGGGCAGGAGCUCGGGGCCACACGAACGAAAGCUGGAGGCGGCAGAGGCGGUGCGACGACGAGCGGCCACGGUGCGCGGGCGACGCGC
rnacentral:lncRNA from 1 species